UGCGCGAACUUAACCACUCAGCCACGGGGCCAGCUCCCAAAAGGCGGUUCCUUAGUAUCCAUAUAACAAGAAGUUUAAAGUGGGAUGGCUUCUGGUUGGUUAGCUUAGUGGCUCCACAAUGGCAUAAAUGCUCAUCUUCACACCUGUUCACUUUGCCACCCUUGACCUGCCAGCUCCUUCCCCUCAAGGUCGCAAGAUGACUAUAGCAACUCCUGGCAUCGAAUUUUCAGAAACCAAUGUCAAGAGGCAAAAAAGGGAGCAUUUCUCUCUUAUAUAUAUAUAUUUUUUUUGUCCAGGAUGAGAAAUUUUUCUAGAAGUCUUCUUCUCAGUCUCAUUGGCCAUAAAUGGGUUAUAUGCCCAACCUUAAAUCAAUUCCUUGGUGCCUGGCAAUGGUACCAAAGUGACAAGCUUUAGGCAAUUAUGAAAGAUGGAUGGAAAACAUUAGGCCAUGGAGAAGCCACCAAAAGAAAAAAAAAUUAGAAAACAAACAAAAACCGCUCAUGUCUAACAUAUUAUUAUGGGUUUUAAAGCCAAAAAGCUUGGAUGAGCUUUAUGACUAUAUAAACUAAACCACUGAGCCUCGGUUUUUUUAACCCGUCCAAUUGCCGUCUUUAUGAAGAUUACAUAAAUUAAUGUAUGAAUAAGAUACCUAGCUCAUGAGAGAUGCAAAUAUGUUAAUCUCCUCCUCCUUCCCCAGCAAAUGUGCAAAAUAAAAAUAGAUAAAUUAGCAGACGAGACCAAAUAAUGGAAACUUUAGAGCUUUGAAUACCGUAGAUUUUCUGAUAUUCCAUUUCAAAUUCUGCAUAGAACUCCUAACACGAUUCUGAGGAAUCUACAGCAAUGACAAUGCCUUAGUGCGAACAAUUCUAAUUUUGUUAUUUAAAAUGACUUGUAAAAGUUGCAUCUUCCUUCUAAAAAGUGUAAGUACAUGCAGUAUAUCCACAGAGCAAGAUAUAUAUAGUCUCUGAAAUCCUGUAACUUUUGUCUCCAUUUAUUCAUUUUGUUUCAAAGAGAUUCACAUAAAGUUUAUGCGGUUUGUAGAUGUCCUUCUAGAUGCUGGGGAUUGAACAAAAACCGACAGGCAAAAGUCCCUGUUCCCCCAAAAUCACCUCCGAAUUCUCGCUUAUAACAGUGAGUAUUGAUUUCCCUAGUAAGUUUCAAACUAAUGCCUUACUCCUGAAACUCCACUGUUGGAUUAUACUCACUUUUCCUGUGCAGGAAAUACCAAGUCAAGAAAAUCCCAACUCUUCUAAUUGUCUUCCUCCACUUGAUCACUAGAUGGCGCCGAAGGAAUCCAUUUCCCUCCCAUUGAGGGAGAAAAAGCGUGAAAAAAUAGAAUAGCAACUCUUGACAGUGCAAAAGGGACAAGGUCUCUGCUGUCAGUUCAAUUCCUCUUUACUUAUUUGUUCUUUGGGCAAAGAUGCUCAAAUGUUUUGCAUUAUCACUGGCACUCACAGUAAAUUUUAAAAAUAGUCUUUUCAAGUCCACUACAAUUCUGUAAGGGCCUGGCCCGCACAAUCAGUCCUUUCUAGUCCUUCGUUUUCUACAACGGCAGCAAUUUAUUCUGCCCUUCUCUCAUUCUGAGACGUGCCCUGCUCUGCUUCUUCAGAAACACUGGGGUCAUUCUCUUCUCUCGAGCACUAAGGAAUGAGCAAACGUCACUCCUCGGCUCCCUGCUGGACAUUCGGCAGCAACUUGCUGUCAAAGCAAGUCCUGAGAUCUCCCCCAUUGGACUCUGCCUUCCAGCCAUUUGGAGUUUUCACAACACUGAUAUCUCCUUUAGGUGUUUAUACCAUGAUGAAAUCUAGGGAACCAAAAUAUGUGUGUUCACGCUCAUGAAAAAAACAUUCAUCAUUUCCCAAGCUCUGUUUAGGGAAGGGGGAAAAAAAACAUUGGAAGGAGAAAUCAAUUUGGCCAUGAGUCAAAUUCCAACCAAAGAAUUACACAACCCUUUUUCUCCUCUGUCUUCUGUACUAAAACUUGGGGAAACUCCUCGGUCCAGAUAAUCAGAAGAGGAGUAACUGAUUGAUGAUUCGUUGAAAUUAUUUUUGUAGCUGUUGUCUUGAAAUAAGUGUAUUUAUUUACGUGUGCGUGAAUGCAUGUGCACACACAUAGAUAUGCAUAUAAAAUCUCUCUUUGUCACCUCCACCCAGUGUCACAGUCACUCAACUGUGGGAACAGGGCUCUUCAUGGGCCCCAGCUUUUCAGAACUUGAACCAGGGUCUUUGAUCCAUUUUCCUACAGUCGUUUGUCUUUCCCAAGGAUUACGCCCUGAGCUGAAAGUUCACCCUUUCCCUGUUGUACCUGAACUGCGAUGAAGGAUGUUUUCACAGACACAGUCUUCCUUGGACGCUGAUGUUGUUUCUCCUGCUGCUUCUAAAUAGCUCAGCCUUGCGUGCGUGAGGUGCAGGCAGAGUUUUCAUCCCCAUUUAUUUUACAAACUCAACGCACCCUACAUUUUUUGUUUCCUUUUAUUUAUUUAUGUUAUCCAUAAUAACCCCUGGAGACCGGGGGAUAGGCUCGCCCUCGGGUUUUGAACUUGUUUCUUUGGUUUCUUCUUCUCCCUCUUCCAUUUAUUAGACAAGGUAUUAGGUGCCCAGAGAGGCGACCACAAUGCUUUGUUAAGACACACCUUCAGAAAGAAGCUUUUCUACGGAGCAAAUGUGACCGACUCCACCAUCUUCCGUCUCCUUCCCUAAGCAGUUAGAGGGAGCCCUCCAUGACCACAGACUGGAAGGCUUAGCAUCCAAAAAGCAAGGGCCUGUUUUUACUCAGAAAAGUCAGAGAAGUGUAGAUACUCCUCGCUGGAAGACAUAUGGACUCGUAUAUGGCACCGAUUGUCAACCUGGCUGUGCAACAGGACCCCUGGGGAGUUACACAUUUCUAGCUCAACCCCAGAUUACUGGCUCAUAAUUUCCAAAGAUGGGCCUGGGAAUUUGCACUUUUCAAAGCAAUCUUCCAUUUCACUGCAGGCAAUCUGACCCAAGGUCCUGGAUUGCAUUCAAGAAAGGUGAGUCUGGACGCUUGAAUUACGAUCGCUGGUAAGUUUGAAUCUGUCGUACAGUCAUUGCGUGGUGGCCAGGCGUUCCUCUUGUGCAUGGGGAAGUGUCAAGCAUGAUGCUGAGAAUGCUCAUGAACACAGUCACUCGCCUGUGUGACCUGCGACAAAUGAAUUAAUUUUGUUUGCCUCAGUUUCCUUAUCUGCAAAAUGGGGCUGAUGGUCACAACCUCCUCCUAGUGUUGUCAUAAGGAUUGAAUAAAUGAGUACAUGUAAAGCAUUUAGAAUAGUGACUGGCAUUGAGUACACGCUCAAAAAAUGAUGUUUUUGGUUUAUCAUGUUAUUUAUUACUGAGAAAACAAAACUUGUGAAAAAGAGAUUAUUAUUCUAAUCUAAGAUAAGAAAACUGAAGCGCAUACAAAUUAAACAUCUUAUCCAAGGUAACAGAGCUGGUAAAUAUUAGAACUGAGAUUAAAUCCAGACCACAUGACUUCAAGCCAAUCGUCCUUAAGAAGCUCCUUGAAUACCUCAAGUGAUGGCUGAAAUGACUACUUCCAAUGGCAAGAAUUUUUAUCGUUGGAUGCUUCUGACAAAUAAUAGCAGCACUAUGAUUAUGAUUUAUGAAGCAACUACUGAGCCACCAUUUGUUGACUCCUUAUUAAUAGCAGUCGCUAUACUCAGCAUUUUGCAUACGUUGACUCAUUCGAUCAUAAGAACCUGAAAGUUAGGUGUUAUUUUCCCUCCUUAUCAGACGGGGAAGUUGAGUCCGUGGUUAAAUUUCUUGCCAAGCACAUGUAAUCAGUGUGUGGUGGAAGAGGUAUUUGAACUCCAUCACCUGUGUAUUUAACCACUUUCUUGAGCCUCAGUUCACUGCCUCUGGUUUUCCUUAAGGUGCUACGGAAUAGAACAUUUAGUUCCCUGCAUCAAGUUAGUCUUUUGGACAUUUGGGAAAAAAAAUGAAGUCUUGUCAUUUCCUAGGUUAACCAUCCAAGUUCCUUCAAAGAAUCCAGGCAGUGGACAUGACCUCAUUUUGAAAACUUUCACCACUGAAUUCACUCUUCUCUAAGACGCCAUCAGUGUCUCGGGCACUCCAGCUGUGAUGUCCUGACCUGCAUCAGAGAAGGUCAGGUAGCAGGAGCCCACUCGAGCUUCCACCCACAGGCAAGAGGUGUUUCUAAAUAGGUCGACAGAGAAGACCCACUAUCAUUUUAGUGUGGUCGGUUUUGUUUUUUUAAAAGCCAACAUUAUAAAAGAGGUUUUAAUCUGCUUUUCUUUUUUAACUAUUUCUCCCUUUGCGGCCUAAAGGUAACCUGAGGCUAACCAAAAAAUUAAUAUUUGAAAUGUUUGUGCUAAUUUAUUCACAAUAAAUAUUUUAUUCACAAGCAGUAUUUUCUUCAACCUUAAGUUUCUGAACUAGCAAAACAAGUCAUUUUUAAAAGAGGGGAUACAGCUUGCAUCCAGAUGGGCUGUUGGCAACUGAAGACGGUCCCAGUGGAUCGGUGGUUUUGUGAUGGAUCAGAAACCUGUUUCUACUCUUACCUGAUACCCAUCUGUACCGAGAAAUGCCACAACAUGCAGCUAAUAUAAACCCCACCAUUUAGGAUUACAUUUUGUUGAGUUCCCUUUAUUUAUUGAGGACAAAAAGUUUAAUGUCAACAUUCUGUGACUUUUGUUUCUCGGGGGUAAGUGGUUGCUGCUCAGACAGUUUCCCUUAGCCUGUGUAAAUUCUCUUAAUUAAAGAUUUUGUGUUGUAUAUAAUGGAAAGAAAAAUCUUAAUAGGCAUAAUAAUGUAGUCUUCCUUUUAAAAUUUAAGCUUUAUUAUUUUUAAAUCAUACGGAAUUGACUCAAAUUGCUUUAGAAAUUGUCAUAUUAUUAAUCAGGAAGAAAUGCUCCAUAGCUGAAAACAAAUGGAGUCAUAUUGGGAAGCUGGUGAGAUGUUUGGGGGAAAAAACAGAUACUGGGAUGGAUCCGGAGAUUUCUCAGAUUCUUUCCUACGACCCCGUUCCAAGAUGAUCAGAAGGACUGGAUGCAGGGAACCAGCUGGUCCUGGUUACCUUUUCAUGAGGAUUCCUACCCAUCGGUGAGAAAAACACGUCCCCUGAUAUGAGCAGUGAAAAAACCCUACUUAGUGGAACUGUUGUUUCGUCUCCACACCUUGUCUGGACUGACUUCAAAAUAUCGCUAAAUAAUAAACUCUAAGUUACUAAUAGAAAAUACCCAGAGUUUCUAGAACAUGCUUCGGAAUUAAGGAUUAAUAGCCCAGGUUCUGGCAAUAAUCUUUCUGUUUCUUUGAUAUUUGAACUUAACGUUUGUUUUAGAUUUGUUUAAAGAUUGUUUUUGUAGUAGAAACUCCAGGCUCUUUGAUCAUUUCCUACCCUACUGGUCGACUUUUGAGUUACCAUCUUGACAUCUAGUCGUUCAAAUGCUUCUUACCAACAGUACCCAGAUAUUCCUUUGACGAAUUCAGUCAAUUUCUAGUUUCUCCCUUUGACCCAGCAGCACCAGGGAUGGAUCCUGAUUGAUCAAUAUUUCCCAGCACCAAAUCCGCCCCCUCGACACAGAGCGAUUAGUUCAGGGAGAAACACGUGGCCCAAAAACAGCCAGUGAGAGAGAGGGAGUCCCAGCCCUCCUGUGGGGACCACCGGCCACUCAACAGCAAGGAGACAGGAGGCCCCGGGGGAGAGUCGGAGCUACCAGGAGGCACCGUGUGGCUACGCUUGAGGAAACACAGAGGAGAAAUGGAAAUUGGCGAAUGGGGAUGUGAGCUAGGCUUGGGACCAAGCUCAGCUUCUACAUCCACCUCUAGACUUAGUUACGUGACCCGGCACAUUCAUUUUAUUGCUUAAGUCCCCUGCAGUCAGGUUUUCCAUAGCUUGUAAAUAACUCAACUUUCCUGAGCCUCAGUUUCUUACCGGUAAAGGGAGGUUAAUAUUAUCCAGCUCAUUAGGUGUCGUGAUGAUUAAAGCGGGUGACAUCCGUGAAGCACCCGGUAUGUGCUGUGAAUUCGGCAGCCAGUCUGUUUCCUUUUCUUUUCCUCCUCUGAGGAUGGAUGAGUCAGCCCAGCGCUCCGAGACCUGGGGAGUUUUCAGAGCAGGGAGUGGCGUAGGGCGAGGACUGAGGCCCUGACAGAGCCACAGUGCCCCACGGCUUUCCCCGGGCUGACUCUGCCCCAUGCCUGUCCCGGGCUCUGGCAGGCAGCCGCGCUGGGGUCCGUCUGGUGGAGAUGCUCACUGUUCCUCAGGGUCAGUGGUGAAACAAGUGGCCAAACUAAAUUUGUCUAAGAAGCACAUUGCAGAGGGGCCACAUUUAAACACCAGGGGGUAUUCUGCUUUCCUAGGAUAUAAAGCUUAUUCAAGACAAUAAAUCUUGAGUGCAGAUAUUUAAAAAUGACUCUUGUCUUUGAAGGAAAAAUUCUAGAGAAGUACAGACUAGGAAGACGCCCAGUCUAAACUGGGUUCAACAGGUGCAUUCACCCGUGAGGUAGUUUUUUCAUUUGAUUAUACAAUCCUGGAACAGGAAGGGUGGAGCUAUUCCAAACCCUUACGCGACAGAUGAGACAGCGGAGGCCCAGCCAGGCGAGGGGACUGGCUCAAGCCCCCCGACCAGCCUCAGGCAGAGCCGGCUCCGAGUCACAGCCGGUGUUCUGUAAACGGAGUGUGACUUCCCAGCCCCCGCCCAGCAGACUCUGCUCCACUUUCCGUCUCCAGCCGAGGGUCUGGCAGGCACAGAAACACCCAACAAGUCUAACGAGCAUGGCCGGCGCCUUUGUCACCUGUGAGUCAGCAUCAGCUCCCACCGACACAUCUCUGCAUUGCUGCGCAUGGACCGAGCGAGCGGUGUGACAGAUGCUAAUUUCAUCCACUGCAAGGCCCUGUGUGUUCCUACCUGAUGUGUGUUGACCUUUGGGGACCAUCCAGCCCUUUGCUGAGCUGAUGAAAACCACUGAACUCCACUCUAGAAAAAAUACACAAGCCCAGACAGUCCCAGGAAGAAGUUUCCAUCAUUAUCCCCAUUUUACAUAUGAGGAGAUUUAAGCACGAAGAGGUUGUGUAACUUCUCUGAAAUUAUACAGCCAUUGAACAGAAGAGCGAGAAGUCAGAUUCCAGCAUCCUGACUCCAGAGCCCACGUUCUCAGCCAUUCAGAAGAUGGCAGCAAGAUUACCACACCGUUUGUUUUAUGAACUGUGUGUUUAAUCCCUGCAAUGGGAUUUCACAUUUACAAAGAAGAAACUGAACUUUUUUCUUCUGUGCCUUGCCUAAAUACAGGGUUGGCCAAUUAGUUUUCUAGAGAUAAUUCGUCAAUAUGCAUCUUUUCACAGGCUCUAAAAGCUAUAAAUAAAAGCCCGUGUUUCUGUGGCCUUAGUCUUAAAUUUUCAGGCCAGAGAAUGCUUUUCAUUUGUCAUUCACAGCAGAAUGUUUCUCCUCCUUCCCAACUAGAGAGCGAGGAAAAGAAAAACAGAAGUUUAAAAAAGUAAUAGACAAGAAUGGAAUCUACAAGUCUUUAGAAGAACAAAGAUCUAAAGAGAAUGCCAAAUUAUGUUUAGUUUUAAUUUUAAUAUUAUAAUAUUUUUGAGACCGUACGUACCAGGUUGCUCAGCUGGGUUCUGGGGAGCCGUCUGUGAACACAGCUGACAAGGUCAGUUGCUAAUUAACAAGUAGAGACGUCCCUGAGAUAACUACUGAGAGUGACAGGUGCUAUGAAGAAAAUAAAACAGGUGUUUUGGUGGAGGGUAACUAGACAAUGGGGCUAUUUUCGUUAAUACUAAAUGACUAAAAAAAAAGCAAGCUAUAAAAUGAAUUAUUUGGAGCUAAGAAUAGUUAAUGGUUUUGGUUACAAAAAAAGCAUAUCUCACUUUCUGUGUUGUCUUUAAGUUUUAUGUGAAACUAACUUUUCAUCAAACUUUAAAAUUCUCUUUUUGCUUUUCAUAUUCUGUACUUUUAAUAUAAAUCAAUCUGACCAAUUUUUCUUCCCCUUCAAAUGAAGCCAGACUUGCACUUUGGGGAAAUUUUAUCUCUAAGAUGUUUUCUACCAGUUUGUGAGUUUUUCAUGGAACUCUUUCUGAUUAGUGGUAUUCCCAACUGUGUCAAUCUAACUGGAGACCUGAGAAUUGGUCUUUAAUUGGACGUAAAACAAGAGAGUGAGUAUCUUUGUGCAGAGAUUGCUUAAUUUUAUUUACAGAUCUGAGUUAAUCCUUGAAUAUCACUAUAAUUCCACUGGAAAACAGAAAACGAAAAAUGAAACUAGUGGUGUUUCGUUUUACUAAGUCACAAAUUUACAGCUUAUAGGACUAAACUAUGGAGGAGUAAAUUUGCAUAUUUCCAUAGUUCAGUUAACAUUUUUAAACUAACUAUUCCAGAGUUUAAACUUGAAAAAUUGAAAAUAAGUCUGCUGUGGUAUUUCUUAUCUUCAGUUGUUUUAUAUCACUGUUUCCUCAGACCAUGUUUAUGGAUCAAAACUACGCCUUUGUCAAACAUUUGACACUUGAGCCACUCCCUGAAAUUGAAUUUCUUUCUUGAGCUGUCUAUUGUGAAUUCUGAAUGUAGUAGGCAAACUUUUGGCUGCACACAAACACACAGCUUUCAUGCUGGUCCCUGUUGGAAGAUGUAGUGUUCUAUAUAUUCCCUGUCUUUAAAAUAGUAAUAGCAACAAUAUAAACAGCCCCCACCGUGUCAUAUCAAGAUGGAAUUGUUUUCUCCAGUUCAGUGAUUACAGAGUGCGUUUUGUGAGACAGCCCUUGAAAAUGGCUCAUAAUGCUUCCAUUUUUCCCUUGGACUGCAAUAUAUUGUUGGUCAUAAAACUUAACGAGUUCUGCCAAAAAACAAAAUUGCAAAUUGAGACUGUACGGGGAUUGCCAUCCAAUCUGUCACUGCGUAUAGUUACCAGCAUUAGUUUGAGUCUAUAACCAAGGCCAAGACUCUCUAUUAGGCUUCUGACAGGCUGAAUGCAUAUCGGCUUGGUAAUUAUGCUGUAGGAUGUACAAUAGUCUUGUGGUAUUUUUAUUGAAUGCAUAUUGUUUGAUAAACAGAGAUUACCUAAAUUGUCUAACGUCUGAUGUACCAAAGGUCUAUAUAAGCACACCUUUGCAAGGUUCUUCUUUAGGAGGCAACUAGCGUUACUUCCUAAGAAUUUCAGGUUGUAAGGUAUAACAACAAAAAUUAAUAUUCGUGUAGUACUUUCUAAUUUAGAGCCUUUUCCUACCCACCUAAUUAUUUGAGUCUCACACUAAUACUUGGAGGAUAUUUCAGGGCUCGGCCAGCAAGAGAGAUGCCAAGACUUGGACCCACGAUCAUGGGUCAAGUGCCAAAUGAGAAUAAGCCCGGGCCAAGUUGUUUAUCUUCAGCCUUCGAAGUUCAGAAAUGCACACGGAGUUAAGGCCUUUCUAGAACUGAAGAGCGGUAAAGUUAAGUCUGAAGACUAGUUUGUGCUAUGCUGGCAGGGAGCUCUGUAUAGGAGGUUUUAAAGUUUUACUUAUCAUCUGUUUAAAAGAAAAAGAGAGAGAAAGGAAGAAAGGAAGGGAGGGAGGAAGAAAGGAAAGAAGGACUCUGUAUUGCCUGUGAAAUGUGAAAUUGUUCCAAGCACAGGCACUUCGCAUUCUGAAAGGCAUGAUUGUGUUUUCAAGACUUCUAGUGAGAUCCCGAAUUCACAGUAGGGUUUCUGACCCUUACCUGUCUCUAAACUCUCGAUGCUCCCGUUUUCUCUUCUAUAAACCUGCACACCCCCACGAGUGCAUGUGCGCACACACGCCCAUAUGUAAAUGAAACGUUUAAAUAUUAUUAUAAGGAUUAACUGAGACAAGCUAUAAAAAAAGGAGGGGUCUUUCCCUCCUCUUGUUUCCCUUUUGACGUGUACAUUUUAAAUCUAUCCAAACUGAAAUAUAUCUGUGCAUUAUUUUUGGUACCUGGGACCUUAUUACAGAAUUCUACUGAAUUAGGAAAAGCAGAUUUGACCCUACUCUGCCCUGGGACCAUUGCCCUCCUGCUGCAUAUCCCCACACCAAACAACAGUUCUUUACAUCAGGGCUGACUGGAUAAAUGUCACAUGCCCUGUGGAGUAAUCCUGCCCCGGGGUCUCUGUUUUAAAUGUGACCUAAUCGUGUCUGUGAAUUAAAAAUUAUUAUUAUAAGAGCCUAAGAAUAGUUCUUGUUUUUAUAAUAGGUGAACCAAAUUCCAAUCAGAUAUUACACAUCAGUAACUUAGCGAGGCUGGAUGUUUUUCAAAGUAUAAUGAUUAAGAGACAAUGCUUUCUGUUAUCUGAAUUCCUUAGGUAAAUGGUAGUAUCUUCAGAUAAGGCAACAGUAUCCAUUAUCAUGAAAAUUUUUCUAUUACUGAACUGUGCAAUCUUAGUUGGUCUGUUUGUACUAACUUCCGUAUUCUGUAAUUUCAUCUAAAAACAGAAUAACCUUUGCAGUUAUAAAAAUAACAAUUGUCACUAACAUUUUGAGUUCUUACCAAGUGCUAGGCACUGUCUUAAGCAAUUUAUGUGAAUUAACUCAUUUAUCCUCACAACUAUCCUAUAGUUCUUUUUACAGAUAAGGAAACCGAGGCUCAGAACAAUUAAGUAACUAUCCCAAAGCCUUACAACUAUAUUUAUGACUUUCUGCAAUCAAUUCACUAUAAAAAAUGUACAACUAUUAUCUAUGUAUAUUUUUGUCAGGAUUCUUAACCCAGAGUCAAGAUAGCAAUUUUGUUCACAAGCCCUUUACAAACUCAGAGCAGUGGCUUAACCCUAUGGAGCCUCCUUGACACUCAGUUUACACAAUGGCAUUUAAAUAAGGUACUGUAGAUAACCAAAGCCAGCACAUUGGGAGUCGCCUCACGUGCUCCACAAUCUUUAUAGGAAAUGAACCAGUAAGUUCAAGUUGGUCUUUUUUAAAUGUAAAACAUAUUUUUCAGUAGCGAUAGCAGUGUUGCUCGUGUGAUCUCUUUCCUGGUUUUACCUUGUACCACCUUUGUAAGAAAAGAAGAAAUCUGGUAAUGUGUAAACUGAGUUUACUAGAGAGAAGAGGCCUUGUUUUUCUGUGUCUGAUAUCAAAGACGUUCUGGGCGAGACCACAUCUCUUCUCACAGAUGGAUGCGGCUGGGCCAAGACGUUGACCCGGGGGCUGACAAUUCCAUAGUAAAGAUCUUCUGUUCUUCUGGGGUUUCUUGUAUUUGAAUCUUACCUCAAAGACCCGGAUGAUUUACCGGCAGAAACAAGACCAGUAUUCAGCUUUUCAUUCCUGGUUUUGCCGUGGAGAAAGUUCUCGAAAGGCAAUGUAACACUUCCCUACUGCAGUUAACGUUGGAGAAACCUUCCGACGAUGCUAGAAGCUGCACCAACUCCUCAGAGUUCUUCCCCCUGCCCUGUCUGAGUGUAUUUUCUUGCCUGUGAAUUAGGAACAGUUCUGAUCCACCGCAGUGGUGAGCUGAAAAAUGGCCAAAUGGCUGCAAAGUGAAGUGCUAGCACUACUAUAUGUUUUUAUGAUGAGCACCUGUCUUGAGAUUUCCAUGCUGCUUCAAAGGCAGCUCGUGUACUGGUAAUUUUUGUCAGAUCCCUCUAGAGAGCACACUGUGCCUCUAGGAAUCUCACCGGGAUUCCUUCAGGGCCGUGGUUCUCACACCUGAGCAGCAGCAUCACCUGGAGGGCCCUGCUAGACUGCAGAUGGCGGGCAGCACCUCCAAUUUCUGAUUCAGUAGGACUGGAGCGGGGCCCAAGAGUCUGCAUUUCUCAAAACGCCCAGAUGCUGCCGAUCCAAGGGCCACACUUGGGAAUCAUCACUCCGGAGAAGGCUACGGGUUAUCAUGGUCAUUCAGUGAGACCCGUUUUGGUGGGCCACUGCAUUGAAUGAAAGCCGUGGACGUGGCUUUGUCCUCUGGGAAAAGUGGAUAUGGACGACCAACCCUGGGAUGCACUAGUUGGCAAAAUGAG